rnacentral:rRNA from 2 species
CGAGCGGCGAACGGGUGAGUAACACGUGAGCAACCUGCCCCCGACUCCGGGAUAAGCGGUGGAAACGCCGUCUAAUACCGGAUACGACACACCGCCUCAUGGCGGUGUGUGGAAAGUUUUUCGGUCGGGGAUGGGCUCGCGGCCUAUCAGCUUGUUGGUGGGGUAACGGCCUACCAAGGCGAUUACGGGUAGCCGGCCUGAGAGGGCGACCGGCCACACUGGGACUGAGACACGGCCCAGACUCCUGCGGGAGGCAGCAGUGGGGAAUAUUGCGCAAUGGGCGAAAGCCUGACGCAGCGACGCCGCGUGGGGGAUGACGGCCUUCGGGUUGUAAACCUCUUUUACCACCAACGCAGGCUCCCAGUUCUCUGGGGGUUGACGGUAGGUGGGGAAUAAGGACCGGCUAACUACGUGCCAGCAGCCGCGGUAAUACGUAGGGUCCGAGCGUUGUCCGGAAUUAUUGGGCGUAAAGAGCUCGUAGGCGGCGUGUCGCGUCUGCUGUGAAAGACCGGGGCUUAACUCCGGUUCUGCAGUGGAUACGGGCAUGCUAGAGGUAGGUAGGGGAGACUGGAAUUCCUGGUGUAGCGGUGAAAUGCGCAGAUAUCAGGAGGAACACCGGUGGCGAAGGCGGGUCUCUGGGCCUUACCUGACGCUGAGGAGCGAAAGCAUGGGGAGCGAACAGGAUUAGAUACCCUGGUAGUCCAUGCCGUAAACGUUGGGCGCUAGGUGUGGGGACUUUCCACGGUUUCCGCGCCGCAGCUAACGCAUUAAGCGCCCCGCCUGGGGAGUACGGCCGCAAGGCUAAAACUCAAAGGAAUUGACGGGGGCCCGCACAAGCGGCGGAGCAUGUUGCUUAAUUCGACGCAACGCGAAGAACCUUACCAAGGUUUGACAUC